rnacentral:rRNA from 1 species
ACCGCGGCGGCUGGCUUAACACAUGCAAGUCGCACGAGAACGCCCGGGCUUUGCCGGGGCAAGUACAGUGGCGGACGGGUGCGUAACGCGUAGAUAACCUGCCCUCAGGCGCGGGACAAUCGCGGGAAACCGCGGCUAAUACCGCACGACGUCCAGGCCCCGCAUGGGGGCUGGAUGAAACCUUGGUUUUGCCAAGGGCCUUUGGAUGGGUCUGCGUCGGAUUAGCUUGUUGGUGAGGUAACGGCUCACCAAGGUAACGAUCCGUAGCUGGUCUGAGAGGACGAUCAGUCACACUGGGACUGAGACACGGCCCAGACUCCUACGGGAGGCAGCAGUGGGGAAUCUUGCACAAUGGGGUCACCCCUGAUGCAGCCAUGCCGCGUGGAGGAAGACACCCCUAUGGGGCGUAAACUCCUUUUCUGAGAGAAGAACCCCCUGUAGGUUCAGGGUGUGACGGUAUCUCAGGAAUAAGCACCGGCUAACUCCGUGCCAGCAGCCGCGGU